rnacentral:rRNA from 1 species
AGAGUUUGAUCAUGGCUCAGAUUGAACGCUGGCGGCAGGCCUAACACAUGCAAGUCGAGCGGUAGCACAGAGAGCUUGCUCUCGGGUGACGAGCGGCGGACGGGUGAGUAAUGUCUGGGAAACUGCCUGAUGGAGGGGGAUAACUACUGGAAACGGUAGCUAAUACCGCAUAACGUCGCAAGACCAAAGUGGGGGACCUUCGGGCCUCAUGCCAUCAGAUGUGCCCAGAUGGGAUUAGCUAGUAGGUGGGGUAAUGGCUCACCUAGGCGACGAUCCCUAGCUGGUCUGAGAGGAUGACCAGCCACACUGGAACUGAGACACGGUCCAGACUCCUACGGGAGGCAGCAGUGGGGAAUAUUGCACAAUGGGCGCAAGCCUGAUGCAGCCAUGCCGCGUGUGUGAAGAAGGCCUUCGGGUUGUAAAGCACUUUCAGCGGGGAGGAAGGCGAUAAGGUUAAUAACCUUGUCGAUUGACGUUACCCGCAGAAGAAGCACCGGCUAACUCCGUGCCAGCAGCCGCGGUAAUACGGAGGGUGCAAGCGUUAAUCGGAAUUACUGGGCGUAAAGCGCACGCAGGCGGUCUGUCAAGUCGGAUGUGAAAUCCCCGGGCUCAACCUGGGAACUGCAUUCGAAACUGGCAGGCUAGAGUCUUGUAGAGGGGGGUAGAAUUCCAGGUGUAGCGGUGAAAUGCGUAGAGAUCUGGAGGAAUACCGGUGGCGAAGGCGGCCCCCUGGACAAAGACUGACGCUCAGGUGCGAAAGCGUGGGGAGCAAACAGGAUUAGAUACCCUGGUAGUCCACGCCGUAAACGAUGUCGAUUUGGAGGUUGUGCCCUUGAGGCGUGGCUUCCGGAGCUAACGCGUUAAAUCGACCGCCUGGGGAGUACGGCCGCAAGGUUAAAACUCAAAUGAAUUGACGGGGGCCCGCACAAGCGGUGGAGCAUGUGGUUUAAUUCGAUGCAACGCGAAGAACCUUACCUGGUCUUGACAUCCACAGAACUUUCCAGAGAUGGAUUGGUGCCUUCGGGAACUGUGAGACAGGUGCUGCAUGGCUGUCGUCAGCUCGUGUUGUGAAAUGUUGGGUUAAGUCCCGCAACGAGCGCAACCCUUAUCCUUUGUUGCCAGCGGUUCGGCCGGGAACUCAAAGGAGACUGCCAGUGAUAAACUGGAGGAAGGUGGGGAUGACGUCAAGUCAUCAUGGCCCUUACGACCAGGGCUACACACGUGCUACAAUGGCAUAUACAAAGAGAAGCGACCUCGCGAGAGCAAGCGGACCUCAUAAAGUAUGUCGUAGUCCGGAUUGGAGUCUGCAACUCGACUCCAUGAAGUCGGAAUCGCUAGUAAUCGUAGAUCAGAAUGCUACGGUGAAUACGUUCCCGGGCCUUGUACACACCGCCCGUCACACCAUGGGAGUGGGUUGCAAAAGAAGUAGGUAGCUUAACCUUCGGGAGGGCGCUUACCACUUUGUGAUUCAUGACUGGGGUGAAGUCGUAACAAGGUAACCGUAGGGGAACCUGCGGUUGGAUCACCU